rnacentral:rRNA from 1 species
AAUAGAUACCCCGGUAGUCCACGCCGUAAACGAUGAGUGCUAAGUGUUAGAGGGUUUCCGCCCUUUAGUGCUGCAGCUAACGCAUUAAGCACUCCGCCUGGGGAGUACGGCCGCAAGGCCGAAACUCAAAGGAAUUGACGGGGGCCCGCACAAGCGGUGGAGCAUGUGGUUUAAUUCGAAGCAACGCGAAGAACCUUACCAGGUCUUGACAUCCUCUGCCAACCCUAGAGAUAGGGCGUUCCCCUUCGGGGGACAGAGUGACAGGUGGUGCAUGGUUGUCGUCAGCUCGUGUCGUGAGAUGUUGGGUUAAGUCCCGCAACGAGCGCAACCCUUGAUCUUAGUUGCCAGCAUUCAGUUGGGCACUCUAAGGUGACUGCCGGUGACAAACCGGAGGAAGGUGGGGAUGACGUCAAAUCAUCAUGCCCCUUAUGACCUGGGCUACACACGUGCUACAAUGGAUGGUACAAAGAGCUGCGAACCCGCGAGGGUAAGCCAAUCUCAUAAAGCCAUUCUCAGUUCGGA